GCGGCGACGGCUCAGUAGGCAGAGUGUUGGACUCGUCAAUCAGAGGUCCUGGGUUCGAGCCCGACUCUUGGCU
rnacentral:tRNA from 1 species